rnacentral:sRNA from 1 species
AUGGCUGUCGUCAGCUCGUGUCGUGAGAUGUUGGGUUAAGUCCCGCAACGAGCGCAACCCUCGUUCUAUGUUGCCAGCGAGUAAUGUCGGGAACUCAUAGGAGACUGCCGGGGUCAACUCGGAGGAAGGUGGGGAUGACGUCAAGUCAUCAUGCCCCUAUAUCCAGGGCUGCACACAUGCUACAAUGGCCGGUACAAAGGGCUGCGAUACCGCAAGGUGGAGCGAAUCCCAUAAAGCCGGUCUCAGUUCGGAUUGGGGUCUGCAACUCGACCCCAUGAAGUCGGAGUUGCUAGUAAUCGCAGAUCAGCAACGCUGCGGUGAAUACGUUCCCGGGCCUUGUACACACCGCCCGUCACGUCACGAAAGUCGGUAACACCCGAAGCCAGUGGCCCAACCCGUAAGGGAGGGGGCUGUCGAAGGUGGGAUCGGCGAUUGGGACGAAGUCGUAACAAGGUAGCCGUACCGGAAGGUGCGGCUGGAUCACCUCCUUUCUAAGGAGCAUCUGGUGUCGAAUUAAUUCGACAUCCAGGCCUCUGCCUCAGACGAACGCUCUGGGGAGAGUGCUCAAGGGUGGAACACUAACUAGUUCGUGUGAAGCGGACGCCGGCGAUUAGUACAGAUGCCAGGUCCAUGACUUGGUACCGGGAAACGUCGACCGAUUGUCCGUGGAAUUCGUAGGCACGCUGUUGGGUCCUGAGGGAGCAGUAUUUCCUUCAGGGCCUUCUGGUGUUCAGCCAGUUGGCUUGCGUGGUCUGGCCCUCGGCCUACCGAACGGUGCAGUAGCGGAACUCGCUCUGACAUACGCGGUAAUCCGGUCGAUCGGUCGCCCGUACCUUGAGAACUGCACAGUGGACGCGAGCAUCUUUUUAGUUUUUGUAAUUCAUAGUUUGUAGCAAGUUAAUAAGGGCGCACGGCGGAUGCCUUGGCACCAGAAGCCGAAGAAGGACGUAGGGGGCUGCGAUAAGCCUCGGGGAGCUGCCGACCAAGCAUUGAUCCGAGGAUUUCCGAAUGGGGAAACCCGG